AUUGGCUUGAGUUCGUUCAGACUAAGAUUCACACCGAUAUAUUUCAGGUGAAUGUUUAGUCCUGGGCUCUCUGUGCAUUUUGUCUUUCCUGGAUCCCCAUCUCUGCUUACUGGAGCAGCAGCUCUUGGUGCCUGAAUGAUCCUACAAGAUCUCCAAGCAGGGAUGAGGGAAUGGAGACCUGUGAAGCUGAUGUGGCUCAGAUGUUCUCAUGCAAGAUGUCCUCAUGAGGUGGUGUUGGAGGUGGUGGUAAGGAUCCCAGCAGCAGCCAGUAACAGGUGGACAGAGAGUGAUUUGGCUUGAUGGCACAAACAUCCACCUCUCUCUGAACACCUAUCUCAUUUGCUUAAAUUAAAUCACUGCUUCAGAGAAGAUCUUCAAUUUUAGGAAACAGCUUCUGUUGUUCUGUGACUCCAGCUUGUAUCCUCACGUGCAACAAGAGACCAGUGCUCAAAAUAAGGACCCGGUUUAACAAUUAAUGUAGGGAAGAGUAAGUAACGCCUCCAUCCUCUAGGUUCGAGGUUGGAACCUCUUGGCUUAUUGCUAAGAGUUAGAAAGGCUGUUUUGGGUCAAGGUAGCUUUGUCUGACUCUGCACUCUGGUCCUGUCAAUGGCCAGGAGGAGAUGCUGAAGCAAACAUAUAACUAGUGUAUUUUCUGGACCUGUAACCCCUUGCCAGAGGCUAGGAUGUUCCUUCUGGAAAGCAGUACUAUCAGAGUUUGAUUACUUCUUGGAAAAUCUGGCUCUCCUACUCGGAAUAACCUGAAAUAAACCCCAUGAUGAGUCUCUUAAAGGAUUCUGAAGGAACAACAUAGACAUAAAACAGCUUAGCUCUGAUUAUGCCCUGAAAACUAUGCCAGUUCAGAGAUUGAGAGGAUCAGCCUUGUGAUAUUUGGAAGCCUGUGGUGGGGACAAUGGCCUAAAGAGAGUACAUAACUGGGGGCCACACAGGUGCCUGAAUCCCUUGGGAACAAGCUUGAGAUUUUCCUUCUCUCCAUAUCUUCCAUUAGGGAACUUCUGCUAUGCCAGCUCUGUUCAUAAGGGGAUUUGUGCCUCAGGCACUGCACACCUCUCUGCUCAGAGCCUGAGGCAUGUUGGCAUCUGCAAUUCAAGAGCUUUCAGAAUGAGAAGGCAGGCAGUUUGGGGCGGGAUAAGGUACUUCUCUGUACACUAAGUAUAGAAGUAUUCCCAUAGGCCAGGAAACUCCCACAAGGUGGCUCAGUUACACUCAACAUGAUGGCUGUGCAUGCAGGUCUCUUUUUGUGUCUGAAAUGGAGUCCAAUUCGAUUCUACUUUAAAAAUUAUAUUCCCCACAUAAAAACUUCUGGGGUUUUUUUUUGCAUUUAGCCACAGCCACGUACACAAUCAUGUAUAAAUGCUGUGCAUAUGUUCACACAUACAACUACUCUGGUUCUGUUUGUGGCUAUUUCCUAUCUGACGUGAUCUGACUAUAGCAAAAAUUAAAAUAAAGAUCAGAUUAGUUACCGUGGUAACAGCUACCCCUGCCUCAUAUGACGCACGGAUCCUGUGAAGCGAAGGAGCACGUAUCAAUUUACACUCUUAAUUUUUGGGACGUGCAGGGCUCAGCUCUUCCCAGGAGGUCCUCUGAUGACACCAAGCACUAUCCGUGCUUUCAUUCAGCAGCUCAUCCUCUUUGACUUUCUGUAAGUCACAAGAGCUCUGGAGCUGCUGCCACCAUCUUUUGGUAGAAACAAUCUUCAUUUCAGUUUCUUUCUUCAAACAAACCGAAGAGAAAACACAGUGAGAAAAGUCAGGUAUGGGGGGUACUGAGGCAGUGAGGGAUGUUCUUGGUCUUUUAGGACAUAGGCAGCACUGGGGCUGUCUUGGUUCAUUUGUUUCCAUGACUGUAUGUCAAGGUUUUAAAUGUUUCUGCCUUGUGUUGGAGAAAAACAAACAGUCUCGAGUAGGAGUAGUCAAAUUAAUGAUGUCUUGUGGUGUGAGAUUUCACUCGUUACAUCUCCCAGCUAUCAGAUCUCUUAAGGUGUAGGAUGAGACAAAUUAUCAGAUCUGUAGGAGAAGAGAACAUGAAGAGAUAAUACAGUUGACUGCAGUUAAUGAUUACUACCAUGUGUCUAUGUACAUUACAGGGAUAAUAUGUCUUUUUGACUCUUGCCCUCUGGACACACAUCCACAGCAUCUUUCAUUCUGCAUCCUUGGUCCCUACUCAGGACUUAUUCCAGAGCUAUCACGGUCUCAAAAUCACACCUUUAAAUGCAUUGUCUCAUAUAACAUCAUUUCCUAUCCAGGAAGCUUCAACCGACACAGAGUUUCUCACCAUUGUGGUCAGGAUUUAUUGGAUCUAAUUAGACUGUUUCUAAAGCUGGAGUAAAGAGCCACAGGCUCUCAUGAAACACCAAAUCAUACAUUCUCCUGAGUUUCCCAUGGAAAACCUUUCAGGAAGAGGUUUUGUUGUG